CAGGUCCAACCAAUGCAUUCAGAGGCCAAAAUGGACUUUUCCAAAGGUCACACAUGGACUAUUGUGAUGAAUGCACUCUGCAGG
rnacentral:sRNA from 1 species